GCCGAGUGUGGUGGUGCACGCCUGCAAUCCCAGCAGCUCAGGAGGCUGAGGUAGGAGGAUCGCCAAGUUCCAGACCAGCCCUCAGCAACCUUGUGAGGCCCUAAGUGACUUAGCGAGACCCCAUCUCAA
rnacentral:sRNA from 1 species